GAAUCUUGUGUGAAUUGUUUACGAGGAAAUUCUGACUGUCACAUUAACAAGGAUGAACACUCUUGACUCUGCUUCGGAUUCCCCAGUGAUAAUUGUAUCGAGUGAUGAAAGAGCUGACGGCGACAUUUUAAUGUAUGAUUGGCUUGGACCAUUGGAAUGAAGUCAUUUCAUGGUGCCACCACUUGGGAUGGUAUUAGCUGCAAAUAUAGACUUGUACUCAGCACUUAUUGCCUUUAAGAAGUAUGAGAUCCAUUUUGUGCUAACACCUACCGUGACACAGAAUCUUGGUUUAUGCAGUCUCAUAGGAGUAACCUGUCUAAAGCAUUUAGCAAUGGGAUUGGAACCUGCAACGUGUGACUCAUCUGAAGACUGAAUUUUGAUACCAAGCAUGACCAUGAUUUGCCAGAAGAUCAUCUGUUUGGAUGUGACAUGGAAUAAACAGCAUAGUGAAAAUAAGUCAAGUUUUGGUUUGUGAAGACAAUUUUUAAACACACUGUGUAUCAUUUUUAAAUUUUGAUUUGACAACAUAAAUCCACAAAUAUGAACAUAUCAAUUGCUCUCAGUUUUUCAAGUGAAAUAGUUUUUGUAACAGAAAUACAUGUACCAGUAAUUACAUUGGAAUAAAUGUUAUUUUUAAAUAUAAUAAUAUUUUGUUUGUGUAGCAUGUUGACCUCUUUAUUAAGGUCUUCCCUUUCAAAGUUUAGACUUACUUAUUCUAAUGAUUAAGAUAGAUCCUCUGUCUUCAGCAGGAAUAGAAGAUCUUGUAAUACAUGUAUGUGUAUUUUUUACAGUAUAAUGUAAAAAAAAUUGUUAUUUUGGCACAUACAACUAAUUAAAGGCAUAAACAUGUGUAUGAUUCCAAGG